UAUAAACUCAACGUCGUUUCACUCGGGCUACUUAACUCAUUCUUCAUUCUCACACACACACCUUAAAAGUUUCAAAUUCUCUCAUCACAAGCUCUAACAGUGGCCACCGCGAAGUGAGUGCGAACCCUGGUGGUGUUGGGUUUGUGCUAAAAAUUCAAAAGUGAGUGAAAGUUUAUUGCUCAUGAAGUUCUACUCGUUGUCACCUGAGGCGCUGCGCCAUUUGCAUUCUAGUGAAGCAUUUGACCUACCAUUUCAACUCGCAAAUGGAAGUAGUUCUUUGUCCCAAAAGUUGCUUUUUAAUUAGGCGAGCUUGAACCGGUAAAACCACGGUUUUGACCACGAAGUUGUUCCAGAAACAAACAGCAUUUUGUAGUUUAGUUAAUAAAGGGACUGGUGUUGGUGAUUCUGAAAGCAGCAACCCGUGUGUUCUUCACCAGCUUUUUGUGUCUAUCAUCCCAGAGUUGUGUCUUGCUGUAAAGCAAGAACUUACAAGGCGACUACGAGCACAAACACCUAUACCUUUCUUUCUUUGCAUAGAUAAUAUUUUCUAAAAUCAAUAACCGAUGUAUAUGGCAGUUUUUAAGGCAUGGAAGUUCAUCAGCAGAAUUCAAUCCCAAGAAUACACUAGCUACAUCGAUAUUCGAUGAUAUUCCUCAGGCCGACCCUGAGAAUUCAUAUACCCUUUUCGAGCUUGAAAAAACGUGCCCUUAGGCCUUAACGAAAUUGGGUAUUGGGCUCACUAAAGGUCUAAACCUAAUGUCAAUGAGCUAAUAACUAAUCUAAACCAUAAAAAUAGUUUUGCAAGUGGGCCUAUGUUGAUGUUUGUAUGGACAUACCCUAUUAAUUUAUUUAUUUUACAUAUACAUAUCGGAUUUUUUUUUUAAAUAGUGUGCCCUUCAAAAUAUCGGGUCCUGACCGAUGGUCCUCCCCGCCCACCCUCAUGGUCGGCCAUGGUAUUCCCAACACCUUUGUGGAAGUACCUAUGGAAUCGUAUCCCCUCGUGAUACUUUUCAAAAGUUCAUCAUGAUGUUGGAUGGAACGCUUGGGAGGUCUUAUUUCGAAAUACUUUACGGGAAAAGUAAAGGUUUUGUUGGUAAGCGUAUGACCAAAGAUGAACUGCCAACACUAAUAAAACAGAAAGAGGUUACCUUUGAUAAGUUUCGUUCGCUCUACUCGCCUCACUUCAAAUUAAAAUAUAUAAGGGACUUUGAUCUGUCUCGUGUGUUCACCGAAAUACAUUCUUGCAUAAAAGGGAGCAAACAAACUACAGAAUGCAACGCUGGUAUACUGAUUUUAGAGGAUUACUCUUUACUUGAAGAAGGUCGCAUUUCCACCCUUAGAAAAAAGGAAAGGGAGAGCAUCUACUCCAUCUUUCAAGUCUACGAAAAGAAGAAAACAAAACAUGGGGAUUUUGAUUGGAGUGAUGUAGUUAUCGACCCAAGAUUUUAGCAUGAGUGAGAUCUCUCUAUUCAAGUAUAUUUGCCAAAAUAUUAUCGAGGGUUUUCUUUUCACUGGCGAUACUGCAAAGACAAUUGGAAGAAGCAUUGACUUCCAAUAUGAAGAUGCUAGGUCACUUUUCUAUGAGGAUUUUAAACCCCUCCAAGAAGGAGAGAAGGGCAUUGUAUCUAAGAUAUUUCAGUUAAAAAGAAAUUUUAGAACUGAUGCGGCUAUCAUUGCCUUAGCACAAAGUGUAAUUGAACUUGUCUAUUAUUACUUCCCUCUGACGAUUGAUGUUUUGGAUUCCGAGACUAGUAGCAUCUGUGGUGAAACUUCAAUUUUGUUGGAGCCUGAUAGCGAUGACAAUGCUAUCAUGACAAUCUUUGGUGGAAAUGAAGGCGAUGCAGGACCCGGUGGUUUUGGUGCGCAGUAGGCGGUUGCGGUACAGGAUGAUAAUACAAGAAAUGAGAUACGUCAAUAUAUUGGAGGUCAGGCUUAUAUUGUCACUAUAUCAGAGUGUAAAGGCAUAGAGUUCAAGGAAAGAUUGAGACAGCACAAGAAUGCUCUGGUACUGAGGCGGGAUAUUCCGUAAAUGAGGCUGGAAAUUCUCUCAUUAAUUGGAAUAUCUUACAACAAAUCAAGGAGGCAAUAGCUGAAAACGAGGGGGUGGC